rnacentral:tRNA from 1 species
AAUUAGUAUAAGUUAGUAUACUUUCUUUCCAAGUAAGGGGUCUCUAUAGAUUA